UGAGGUGUAGCUCAGUGGUAGAGCAUGUGCAUAGCAUGCACAAGGCCCUAGGGUUCAACCCCUAGCGCCAAAA
rnacentral:tRNA from 1 species